GAUGAACGCUGGCGGCGUGCCUAAUACAUGCAAGUCGAGCGAACGGACGAGAAUUUUGUUUGGUUGAUGUUUGGGGCGGGCGGGUGUGUAACACGUGGAAACUCUCCUUGUAAUUCUGGUAAAAUUAGGGAAAUGGGGAGAAUACAGCGGAGAAUCUCUUGAAGCGUGUUGGGGGAAGGAAAGUGUCGGUCUUUGGGUAUGUUCUAGAGGGAUCCGCGCUGCAUUAGGUGGUUGGUAAGGUACAGGCUUACCAAGGCUACGAUGCCUAGCCGAGCUGAGAGGGUGAUCGGCCACACUGGAACUGAGACACGGUCCAGACUCCUACGGGAGGCAGCAGUAGGGAAUCUUCCGCAAUGGGCGAAAGCCUGACGGAGCAACGCCGCGUGAGUGAUGAAGGUCUUCGGAUCGUAAAACUCUGUUAUUAGGGAAGAACAUAUGUGUAAGUAACUGUGCACAUCUUGACGGUACCUAAUCAGAAAGCCACGGCUAACUACGUG
rnacentral:rRNA from 1 species